rnacentral:rRNA from 1 species
GAUGAACGCUGGCGGCGUGCCUAAUACAUGCAAGUCGAGCGAACGGACGAGAAGCUUGCUUCUCUGAUGUUAGCGGCGGACGGGUGAGUAACCCGUGGAUAACCUACCUAUAAGACUGGGAUAACUUCGGGAAACCGGAGCUAAUACCGGAUGAUAUUUUGAACCGCAUGGUUCAAAAGUGAAAGACGGUCUUGCUGUCACUUAUAGAUGGAUCCGCGCUGCAUUAGCUAGUUGGUAAGGUAACGGCUUACCAAGGCAACGAUGCAUAGCCGACCUGAGAGGGUGAUCGGCCACACUGGAACUGAGACACGGUCCAGACUCCUACGGGAGGCAGCAGUAGGGAAUCUUCCGCAAUGGGCGAAAGCCUGACGGAGCAACGCCGCGUGAGUGAUGAAGGUCUUCGGAUCGUAAAACUCUGUUAUUAGGGAAGAACAUAUGUGUAAGUAACUGUGCACAUCUUGACGGUACCUAAUCAGAAAGCCACGGCUAACUACGUG